rnacentral:rRNA from 1 species
UGCCAGCAGCCGCGGUAAUACGGAGGGGGUUAGCGUUGUUCGGAAUUACUGGGCGUAAAGCGCACGUAGGCGGACUGGAAAGUAUGGGGUGAAAUCCCAGGGCUCAACCCUGGAACUGCCUCAUAAACUAUCAGUCUAGAGUUCGAGAGAGGUGAGUGGAAUUCCGAGUGUAGAGGUGAAAUUCGUAGAUAUUCGGAGGAACACCAGUGGCGAAGGCGGCUACCUGGAUUAAGACUGACGCUGAGGCACGAAAGCGUGGGGAGCAAACAGGAUUAGAUA